rnacentral:rRNA from 1 species
UAGUUGUACGAGUUUAGACUCGUAGCAGAUAGCUCAGUAACACGUGGCCAAACUACCCUAUGGAUCCAGACAACCUCGGGAAACUGAGGCUAAUCUGGAAUACGACUCUCAUCCUGGAGUGGAGAGAGUCCGAAAUGCUCCGGCGCCAUAGGAUGUGGCUGCGGCCGAUUAGGUAGACGGUGGGGUAACGGCCCACCGUGCCAGUAAUCGGUACGGGUUGUGAGAGCAAGAGCCCGGAGACGGUAUCUGAGACAAGAUACCGGGCCCUACGGGGCGCAGCAGGCGCGAAACCUUUACACUGCACGCCAGUGCGAUAAGGGGACUCCAAGUGCGAGGGCAUAUAGUCCUCGCUUUUUGCGACCGUAAGGUGGUCGCGGAAUAAGUGCUGGGCAAGACCGGUGCCAGCCGCCGCGGUAAUACCGGCAGCACGAGUGAUGACCGCUGUUAUUGGGCCUAAAGCGUCCGUAGCUGGCCGCGCAAGUCUAUCGGGAAAUCUCUCCGCUUAACGGAGAGGCGUCCGGUGGAAACUGUGUGGCUUGGGACCGGAAGACCAGAGGGGUACGUCUGGGGUAGGAGUGAAAUCCCGUAAUCCUGGACGGACCACCGGUGGCGAAAGCGCCUCUGGAAGACGGAUCCGACGGUGAGGGACGAAAGCUCGGGUCACGAACCGGAUUAGAUACCCGGGUAGUCCGAGCUGUAAACGAUGUCUGCUAGGUGUGACACAGGCUACGAGCCUGUGUUGUGCCGUAGGGAAGCCGUGAAGCAGACCGCCUGGGAAGUACGUCCGCAAGGAUGAAACUUAAAGGAAUUGGCGGGGGAGCACUACAACCGGAGGAGCCUGCGGUUUAAUUGG